rnacentral:rRNA from 1 species
CUUUUGAAACUGUCGCAC